UCCGGUUUGUCACCGGCAGUCUCCCAUGAGUCCCCAACUGAAUGCUGGCAACAUGGAACGGGGGUUGCGCUCGUUGCGGGACUUAACCCAACAUCUCACGACACGAGCUGACGACAGCCAUGCACCACCUGUGAAGGUGUCCCGAAGGAAAGCCGUGUUUCCACGGCGGUCACCUACAUGUCAAGCCCAGGUAAGGUGGGGAUGACGUCGAAUACGUAAC
rnacentral:misc_RNA from 1 species